UGUUUCGACACACUAUCAUUAACUGAAUCCAUAGGUUAAUGAGGCGAACCGGGGGAACUGAAACAUCUAAGUACCCCGAGGAAAAGAAAUCAACCGAGAUUCCCCCAGUAGCGGCGAGCGAACGGGGAGCAGCCCAGAGCCUGAAUCAGUGUGUGUGUUAGUGGAAGCGUCUGGAAAGGCGCGCGAUACAGGGUGACAGCCCCGUACACAAAAAUGCACAUAUUGUGAGCUCGAUGAGUAGGGCGGGACACGUGGUAUCCUGUCUGAAUAUGGGGGGACCAUCCUCCAAGGCUAAAUACUCCUGACUGACCGAUAGUGAACCAGUACCGUGAGGGAAAGGCGAAAAGAACCCCGGCGAGGGGAGUGAAAAAGAACCUGAAACCGUGUACGUACAAGCAGUGGGAGCACGCUUAGGCGUGUGACUGCGUACCUUUUGUAUAAUGGGUCAGCGACUUAUAUUCUGUAGCAAGGUUAACCGAAUAGGGGAGCCGAAGGGAAACCGAGUCUUAACUGGGCGUUAAGUUGCAGGGUAUAGACCCGAAACCCGGUGAUCUAGCCAUGGGCAGGUUGAAGGUUGGGUAACACUAACUGGAGGACCGAACCGACUAAUGUUGAAAAAUUAGCGGAUGACUUGUGGCUGGGGGUGAAAGGCCAAUCAAACCGGGAGAUAGCUGGUUCUCCCCGAAAGCUAUUUAGGUAGCGCCUCGUGAAUUCAUCUCCGGGGGUAGAGCACUGUUUCGGCAAGGGGGUCAUCCCGACUUACCAACCCGAUGCAAACUGCGAAUACCGGAGAAUGUUAUCACGGGAGACACACGGCGGGUGCUAACGUCCGUCGUGAAGAGGGAAACAACCCAGACCGCCAGCUAAGGUCCCAAAGUCAUGGUUAAGUGGGAAACGAUGUGGGAAGGCCCAGACAGCCAGGAUGUUGGCUUAGAAGCAGCCAUCAUUUAAAGAAAGCGUAAUAGCUCACUGGUCGAGUCGGCCUGCGCGGAAGAUGUAACGGGGCUAAACCAUG
rnacentral:rRNA from 1 species